AGCGGGCCGGGGGCCGGGGCGGGGCUGCGGCCGGCGCCGGGACCGAUGCCCGGUGCCCUGUGCUCGGUUGCUCGAUGCCCGAGCCCGGGGCCGCUCGGCCACUGGAGAUCGGUGCGGGCAGUCCCGGCACUGCUGCGGGGGCCGGCCCAGCCCGGCUCGGCCCGGUGGAAUUGCGGAGCGGGCGGUGCGGGCCCCUCCCCGCGCCCGGCCGGGACCGCGCGGGGCAGAGCCGCGGCGGGGCCGGAGGUCCGUCCGGCCGCCGCGAUGCCCGCACCGGAGGCCGGCAGCGGCCGGGAUCGGUUCCACCAAGUCUCUAUUGCAAUAAUUUAGUUCCACAUUCUUUACAACACCCGAGGCUGGUGCCGUUGGUUUGGUGCACUGAUUCUGGGCCAUGGGCAGGAGGGCUUGGCUGCUCCAAGGCUGUCCUGGGUCACCGGAGUGUUCACCAGCACCUUAAGGAGUCUCGCUGCGUUUCUCCCUUCCCCAAAGCGAGAGCCUGCGGGCGUUGGCGGCGCCGCGGUCUGCCAGGAGAGCGGGGAGCGGAGCCGUGCCGGGAUUAAGUCACUCUCACAAGGUCACGCGGUGAAUCGCUGCUGCUGCUGCCAGGAAUAGCGCCCCGAGUCUCUUGGCUCUCUCAAGCCCACCCGCAGCACUCCAGCCUCCUUUCCUCGGGUUAUGAAGCUUUCUGCAGCAAGAUUUGAAGCAGCCAAAUUCCAGCUUAGAUCAAAGUCCCUAGGAUUCACUUGUGAUUUCCGGAUGGAGUAUGGCAAGAGCGUUGGUGGGAGCAGACAAUGCUUGUGCUGAUAGCAGAGGUUGAAGUGUUUCCUGUCAUGGAAAAGAUGAACAAGCCAGUUCCGCAUCAGCUUUCUUUUCUGAGACUUCCAGCUGUAACUGAAGCCUCAGUUCCUGUGAUGAUGCUCCUGGGGCAGAGCCCGAUGGCAUCUGCAGAGUGGGGCAUGGAGAACAAGGGACCCCGAGCCACAGGGAGGGACUGCAGCCCCUGCGCCCCUCUCCCCAUGGAGAGACAGCAGAACAUCAUGGUGCCCUCAGAGCCAGCACAGCGCAGACAUCUCCAACAGGGGAUCAGCAAACGUAUAGGACAGGUACACUCCCUGCUGAGUGACAGCACUUCCCAAAGCCUCGCUCUGCAGCCCUGGAGCCUGGCCAUGGUGAGGGGUGAGUGCUGCAGAGGCUGGGGCUGGCUGCUGCUGGGUCACAUGAACUCUGCACUGGGGGAGGAAGGGCCUGAGCUUUUGAUUUCUGAAGGAUAUUGCCCUGAUAAAUAAAGAAAAGAUUUAACUACUGCAGGAAAGUGUGGAGAUCUGCUCUUUGGCAUCCUGGAUGAGAAAUUCUGGUCCUGAAGUCCGUGCAAUUACUGAGGCAGCAAUGGGCACAUGCCUGUGGUUCACCUGCAGUGCUGCCCACAUCCCACGUGCCCAGUCCCACCCCUGGCAGUGCCCACCUGCCAUGGCCCACAUUCCCCAUGUCCCACCCACAGGGGUGCAUCCUCUGGGUGGCUCCCCUGGAAGUGAAGUGCUGCUGCUUCCUGGGGCUGGGGAGCACUAAUUAACACGAAUUAACAGGCAGAACUGGUGAUGAGGUGCUGAGCUCAGCCGUCCCUGCCAGCCACAGUGUCUGGGCAGUGCAGCCUCUGCCAGGGGCUCUGGGGUGCCGGGCAGCAGAGCAGGCAGUGUCCAGCACCUCUGGGUGUUCAC